rnacentral:rRNA from 1 species
UAUCUCUGUAGAGUCUGCAUAUCAAUAAGCGGAGGAAAAGAAACUAACUAAGGAUUCCCUCAGUAACGGCGAGUGAAGCGGGAAGAGCUCAAAUUUGAAAUCUUCAAGGUUCUACCUUGACGAAUUGUAGUUUAAAGAAGUGUUUUCUGUUGGAGUUUUGGUAAAAGUUCUUUGGAAUAGGACAUCAUAGAGGGUGAGAAUCCCGUAUUUGACCAUUAUUUCCAGCUUUGUGAUACACUUUCAAAGAGUCGGAUUGUUUGGGAAUGCAGUCCAAAAUGGGUGGUAAAUUUCAUCUAAAGCUAAAUACUGGCGAGAGACCGAUAGCGAACAAGUACCGUGAGGGAAAGAUGAAAAGAACUUUGAAAAGAGAGUUAAACAGUACGUGAAAUUGUCAAAAGGGAAGCGUUUGGCACCAGUGUUGUUUUCUCGAAAAUCAAUUAAAAAAGGCAGGAUUUUGUGUUGUAUUGACUUUAUCAGCUUUCUGCACUCUUUUCUUGUCUUUUUUAAUGCACUUUUCGUUUAACAAGUCAACAUCAAUUUCUUUUGUUGUAAAAGGGUCAUUGGAAGGUGGCUUUCUUUUCGGAGAAAGUGUUUAUAGCCUUUGGCCUCUGCAAUCGGAGAGAUUGAGGUCUGCAGCGUAGAUCCUUCGGGGUUAGAUACAUUUGUGCUAAGUUAUAGCCUUUCAUAGACAACUUGUUGACUAUGAUCAGUCAUGUAGCUUACUCGCUUAUGCUAUUUUACCUACGCUUAGGAUGUUGAUAGUCACAGCGUGUAC